CAUAAACUCAUCCUCAUAUUAAAAACGUUAACGCAAAAACAUGGCGGCAUCAAGAACAACAAUGAUCAUCAUUUUUGUUCUCUGUCUCUCAUGUACAUUGUUGGUGAAUAUCUUUGGAGUACAAACCAAUGAUGCAUCAUGCAAGACAACAGAAGAGUGUGUGGUGCGAUGUUCCGAUGAAGGUGCAAAAUGUAUAAGUCACGGGGAGUGCCAUUGUGAUCCCCUAAAAGUAAAUAUCUUUGGAGUACACUUCAAUGAUGCAUCAUGUCUGACAACAAACGAGUGUGUGGUGCGAUGUUCCGAUGAAAAUGCGAAAUGUAUAAGGACUCACGGAGAGUGCCAGUGUCCGCUCUGAAAAUUCGAGAUUGAGGCGACCAAUAAGCUAUGCAAGAAAGAUAGUGAUUGUCCAGCUAAGCAUCAAUGUCCUAAAGAUUAUUAUUAUGCCUGGGUUACUGGAGAAUGUACUUGUAUCGUUGUUUGAGAAAACAUUACUUAAUUAUCAUUUAAAUAUGAAAUUCUACUA